GUGACUUACACCCUGAUUGCAAUGACGCAGAAGCUGUUAUUCACAAGAAAUAUCAAAGAUAGUACUUCUUACAUCUAUAAAGAAUCAUUUGAAUCCGGCGAAACGGUAUUACACCAUGUCGGAUUUGAUUCUUUGUGGUCCCUGUGGUUAUGCAGAAAAUAAUAAAAAUGCAAAGAAAUGGUGUACAGUUUGUGAAGAGGCUUUAUGUACAGAUUGUGAACAGGUUCAUAAAUCUAUCAAAACAACAAGGAAUCACAGGGUCAUAUCCACCGACGACUUCCGGCAGAUAAAAAAUAUUUCUAUCAGCCUUACCUGUAAAGACCAUGACAAGCGACUCGAAUUAUUCUGUAAAACACAUGAUGUUGCAGUUUGUUUAGGUUGCGUCCCAUCUAAUCACAGGACAUGCUCUGACGUCAUUCCUUUAGAUAAAGCUGCUGAAAAUGCAAAAUGUUCAACUGCGCUGGCUGAUUUAGAGGACACUUUAACCAUAGCAUUACAAAAUCUUCAACAAAUCAUUAACGACCGUUCUGCAUCAUUGGAGAAUUUAGACGGUCAGAAGCAAUCCAUAAAAAACACAAUCAAUGAUACACGAGCAAGAAUAAUGAAAAAGUUUUAGAACAACAAAUAUUUCUUGAGUUAGACACACAUAAUGGUAAAUGUAAAUCCGAAAUAAGCAAACUUCUUGACCGUUUGAAAAAUUCGGAACGAGAUUUAAAUUGUCUGAAGGAGCAAACAUCGCAAUUGAAAUUAUUUGCAUCCGACAUUCAGCUAUUUGUAGGAACACGUCAGAUCAAUGAAACAGUCUUCAAAAAAGUAGAAUCCGUCAAAGAAAGAAUCAAGUCUGUGCAGAACUAUGAAGUUUACUUACAGUUUCAUCCAGCUGUCAUGGCGUUUAUGAAUGAGAUAGAUCAGCUAGGGAAAAUAUCCGUUAAAAAGACUACCACUAGUUUACCGUUCAAAGAAGCAAAAAUAGAUCAAGCCCAGAUACAACUUCAAGUGCAAGAAAUGAAAAGCAUUAACAAUAUCCUAAUCCGAUUGAGGAAGAGAUUUGACGUGAAACAAAAUCGUGUAGCUAUGUGGCUGUCUGGAUGCACCAUGUUAUCAAAUGGUAAUGUGUUGAUAGCUGAUUACCAGGGAAGUAAUGUACUAAUGGAGUACAGUGAAGACGGUAAACAUAUCCGUGACAUUCCGUGCUCUGACUCACUGUUUGAUUUAACAGUCAUAGACAAUGACCGUAUUGCUGUUACAUAUGGAAAAAGAAAGUAUUUAGAGAUUUUGAAUAUAAAGAACAAUACUGUCGAGAGGAAAGUUAAAUUUAAGAACGACUGCUAUGGAAUAUCAUACCAGGACAAUAAACUAUUUAUCAUUUCAGCAGGCAUUGUAAUAACAGAUAUUACAGGAAAAGUACUCAAAACAUUAUUAGUUGACUGCAAAUUAAACUUAGAUACAACCAUGGAUAGAAUCUAUUUUACCGUCAAAAAAGAUACUAUACAUUGUAUCUCCAUGGCAGGUGAGGAAAUAUGGGUACAUAAGGAUGAAUCUUUAAAAGAUCCGCGGGGCAUUACUGUGGAUGAUCAUCAAAAUGUGUAUGUUGUUGAUUUAGAAACGAAUUCGCUUAAAGUAAUACAACAUGACGGGAAGGCCAGUAAAACAAUACUUUCCGAAACUGACGGUAUGGACAAACCGACUGCGCUACACUACAACAAAGACAAAAGAGUAUUACUUUUGUGUAGCCUGUUUAAGAGUGUUGCCUUAUACAAUCUUCAAUAGUUUCAUAACCUUAUGUUAUACCAAAUUCAUAAAUUUCAAGUUAAUUUGAAAUAGCAUUUCCUAAAAAUAAUAUGAUUAAGGUAAUGGACAUUUUCGGAAAAAGACAAAUGUUAAAGCUCUUAAAAGACUGAAGUAAUACCUAUCUAAUUUGAAGUAAAGAGAUAAAGUACUUUGCGAAAAUCACAGUGACUGUAAUUUUAACAGAAAAUGUUUUCAGAUUCAUAUAAAUGAAGGUGUUUGUUACUUCUUGACUAUCUAUUUAAUUUAUUUGAUGGUCAUGUUUUUGUUAACCUUCAAAAUUUUAAUAAUGAAUUUCUGCAAAAUAAUUGAUUGAUUUUUGUUUCGUCUGCGACGAAUGCCAAAGAAUAAGACACAUACGGUGGUGAUAUACUUGUAUCAAGCUUUAUAUUUCAGAAGAUACAAUACCUAGAUA